rnacentral:rRNA from 1 species
AGUGAACGCUGGCGGCAGGCCUAACACAUGCAAGUCGAACGGCAGCACAAGAGAGCUUGCUCUCUGGGUGGCGAGUGGCGGACGGGUGAGGAAUGCAUCGGAAUCUGCCCAUUUGUGGGGGAUAACCUCGGGAAACCGGGACUAAUACCGCAUACGACCUACGGGUGAAAGCAGGGGAUCUUCGGACCUUGCGCAGAUGGAUGAGCCGAUGCCGGAUUAGCUAGUUGGAGGGGUAAAGGCCCACCAAGGCGACGAUCCGUAGCUGGUCUGAGAGGAUGAUCAGCCACACUGGGACUGAGACACGGCCCAGACUCCUACGGGAGGCAGCAGUGGGGAAUAUUGGACAAUGGGCGCAAGCCUGAUCCAGCCAUGCCGCGUGUGUGAAGAAGGCCUUCGGGUUGUAAAGCACUUUUGUUGGGAAAGACAAGCAGCCGGUUAAUACCCGGUUGUCAUGACGGUACCCAAAGAAUAAGCACCGGCUAACUUCGUG